rnacentral:rRNA from 1 species
UACGAAGGGGGUUAGCGUUUCUCGGAAUCACUGGGCGUAAAGCGCACGUAGGCGGAUUGCUAAGUCAGGGGUGAAAUCCUGGAGCUCAACUCCAGAACUGCCUUUGAUACUGGCGACCUUGAGUCCGGGAGAGGUGAGUGGAACUGCGAGUGUAGAGGUGAAAUUCGUAGAGAUUCGCAAGAACACCAGUGGCGAAGGCGGCUCACUGGCCCGGUACUGACGAUGGGGUGCGAAAGAGUGGGGAGCAAACAGG